UACGUAGGUGGCAAGCGUUGUCCGGAAUUAUUGGGCGUAAAGCGCGCGCAGGCGGUCCUUUAAGUCUGAUGUGAAAGCCCACGGCUCAACCGUGGAGGGUCAUUGGAAACUGGGGGACUUGAGUGCAGAAGAGGAGAGUGGAAUUCCACGUGUAGCGGUGAAAUGCGUAGAGAUGUGGAGGAACACCAGUGGCGAAGGCGACUCUCUGGUCUGUAACUGACACUGAGGCGCGAAAGCGUGGGGAGCAAACAGG
rnacentral:rRNA from 1 species